UACGUAGGGUGCAAGCGUUUAAUCGGAAUUACUGGGCGUAAAGCGUGCGCAGGCGGUUAUGUAAGACAGAUGUGAAAUGCCCGGGCUUAACCUGGGAACUGCAUUUGUGACUGCAUGGCUAGAGUUUGGCAGAGGGGGGUAGAAUUCCACGUGUAGCAGUGAAAUGCGUAGAUAUGUGGAGGAACACCGAUGGCGAAGGCAGCCCCUGGGUCAAGACUGACGCUCAUGCA
rnacentral:rRNA from 1 species